rnacentral:rRNA from 1 species
GAUGAACGCUGGCGGCGUGCCUAAUACAUGCAAGUCGAGCGAACAGACGAGGAGCUUGCUCCUCUGACGUUAGCGGCGGACGGGUGAGUAAAACGUGGAUAACCUACCUAUAAGACUGGGAUAACUUCGGGAAACCGGAGCUAAUACCGGAUAAUAUAUUGAACCGCAUGGUUCAAUAGUGAAAGACGGUUUUGCUUUCACUUAUAGAUGGAUCCGCGCCGCAUUAGCUAGUUGGUAAGGUAACGGCUUAUCAAGGCAACGAUGCGUAGCCGAGCUGAGAGGGUGAUCUGCCCCACUGGAACUGAGACACGGUCCAGACUACUACGGGAGGCAGCAGUAGGGUAGCGGCCGCAAUAGGAGAAAGCCUGACGGAGCAACGCCGCGUGGGGGAAGAAGGGCUUCGGAUCGGGAAACUCUGUUAUUAGGGAAGAACAAAUGUGUAAGUAACUAUGGACGGCUUGACGGUACCUAAUCAGAAAGCCACGGCUAACUACGUG